rnacentral:snoRNA from 1 species
CAUGGAUCUUCGGGACCUCCGGCUGUGGUAGUCCCUUCUUAAUACAAAGAUGGCUUUGUUUAUGGACAAAGCCAUCACCAUAUAACUGCUAUCAGAAUCAGACAUUCACAUUAACACUC